AAACGGGGGGGGGGCAAGCGUUAUUCGUCUUUACUGGGCGUAAAGGGUCUGUAGGCAGUCGUUUAUCACUUAGCACGACACUUCACGAUUUUACUCGUAUUUUGUGCUUUAGCUGAAACGUUACUAGAAUCCAGUGGAGGUUUUUGGUACCUGCGAAGGAGGGGUGAAAUCCGUUGAUAGCGUUAGGGACCACCGAAGGCGAAGGCAAAUUACUAUACUGGAUUGACGCUGAGGGGACGAAAGCGUGGGGGAGCGAACGGG
rnacentral:rRNA from 1 species